AAUAAUCUAUCUACUGUGUAUUUGGAGAAAAUUGUGAAAAUAGGAGAAUUGGCAAUUCUUACCUUCCGUACCUAUACUUCCAUUGAUAAAACAUAACAUGGACUCAUCCAGUGUCCAGUUUGAAGGUCAUUUUACUUACUGUCACAUUCAUGCACGUUCUGAUUUAACCAAUAGUCAUGUACGAAAAGCAUAAACAGUUUGAAGGUAAACUAGUAAUAAUUUAAUCCAAUCAAAUUCCGUAAUUUUCAAUAACAAUGACCGGUCCACAUCAGAAUAAGUAAUAGGGGUAAACUGGGUAGGGAGAAAAUGUAAGAUAUUCAAAGUUUAUUUUUUUGCAAUAACGAAUAAAAAUUUGUCAAACCAAAGUUUU
rnacentral:lncRNA from 1 species